GGGUUGUGAGGUUAAGCGACUAAGCGUACACGGUGGAUGCCCUGGCAGUCAGAGGCGAUGAAGGACGUGCUAAUCUGCGAUAAGCGUCGGUAAGGUGAUAUGAACCGUUAUAACCGGCGAUUUCCGAAUGGGGAAACCCAGUGUGAUUCGUCACACUAUCAUUAACUGAAUCCAUAGGUUAAUGAGGCGAACCGGGGGAACUGAAACAUCUAAGUACCCCGAGGAAAAGAAAUCAACCGAGAUUCCCCCAGUAGCGGCGAGCGAACGGGGAGGAGCCCAGAGCCUGAAUCAGUGUGUGUGUUAGUGGAAGCGUCUGGAAAGGCGCGCGAUACAGGGUGACAGCCCCGUACACAAAAAUGCACAUGCUGUGAGCUCGAUGAGUAGGGCGGGACACGUGGUAUCCUGUCUGAAUAUGGGGGGACCAUCCUCCAAGGCUAAAUACUCCUGACUGACCGAUAGUGAACCAGUACCGUGAGGGAAAGGCGAAAAGAACCCCGGCGAGGGGAGUGAAAAAGAACCUGAAACCGUGUACGUACAAGCAGUGGGAGCACAGAGCAAUCUGUGUGACUGCGUACCUUUUGUAUAAUGGGUCAGCGACUUAUAUUCUGUAGCAAGGUUAACCGAAUAGGGGAGCCGAAGGGAAACCGAGUCUUAACUGGGCGUUAAGUUGCAGGGUAUAGACCCGAAACCCGGUGAUCUAGCCAUGGGCAGGUUGAAGGUUGGGUAACACUAACUGGAGGACCGAACCGACUAAUGUUGAAAAAUUAGCGGAUGACUUGUGGCUGGGGGUGAAAGGCCAAUCAAACCGGGAGAUAGCUGGUUCUCCCCGAAAGCUAUUUAGGUAGCGCCUCGUGAAUUCAUCUCCGGGGGUAGAGCACUGUUUCGGCAAGGGGGUCAUCCCGACUUACCAACCCGAUGCAAACUGCGAAUACCGGAGAAUGUUAUCACGGGAGACACACGGCGGGUGCUAACGUCCGUCGUGAAGAGGGAAACAACCCAGACCGCCAGCUAAGGUCCCAAAGUCAUGGUUAAGUGGGAAACGAUGUGGGAAGGCCCAGACAGCCAGGAUGUUGGCUUAGAAGCAGCCAUCAUUUAAAGAAAGCGUAAUAGCUCACUGGUCGAGUCGGCCUGCGCGGAAGAUGUAACGGGGCUAAACCAUGCACCGAAGCUGCGGCAGCGACGCUUAUGCGUUGUUGGGUAGGGGAGCGUUCUGUAAGCCUGUGAAGGUGUACUGUGAGGUACGCUGGAGGUAUCAGAAGUGCGAAUGCUGACAUAAGUAACGAUAAAGCGGGUGAAAAGCCCGCUCGCCGGAAGACCAAGGGUUCCUGUCCAACGUUAAUCGGGGCAGGGUGAGUCGACCCCUAAGGCGAGGCCGAAAGGCGUAGUCGAUGGGAAACAGGUUAAUAUUCCUGUACUUGGUGUUACUGCGAAGGGGGGACGGAGAAGGCUAUGUUGGCCGGGCGACGGUUGUCCCGGUUUAAGCGUGUAGGCUGGUUUUCCAGGCAAAUCCGGAAAAUCAAGGCUGAGGCGUGAUGACGAGGCACUACGGUGCUGAAGCAACAAAUGCCCUGCUUCCAGGAAAAGCCUCUAAGCAUCAGGUAACAUCAAAUCGUACCCCAAACCGACACAGGUGGUCAGGUAGAGAAUACCAAGGCGCUUGAGAGAACUCGGGUGAAGGAACUAGGCAAAAUGGUGCCGUAACUUCGGGAGAAGGCACGCUGAUAUGUAGGUGAAGUCCCUCGCGGAUGGAGCUGAAAUCAGUCGAAGAUACCAGCUGGCUGCAACUGUUUAUUAAAAACACAGCACUGUGCAAACACGAAAGUGGACGUAUACGGUGUGACGCCUGCCCGGUGCCGGAAGGUUAAUUGAUGGGGUCAGCGCAAGCGAAGCUCUUGAUCGAAGCCCCGGUAAACGGCGGCCGUAACUAUAACGGUCCUAAGGUAGCGAAAUUCCUUGUCGGGUAAGUUCCGACCUGCACGAAUGGCGUAAUGAUGGCCAGGCUGUCUCCACCCGAGACUCAGUGAAAUUGAACUCGCUGUGAAGAUGCAGUGUACCCGCGGCAAGACGGAAAGACCCCGUGAACCUUUACUAUAGCUUGACACUGAACAUUGAGCCUUGAUGUGUAGGAUAGGUGGGAGGCUUAGAAGUGUGGACGCCAGUCUGCAUGGAGCCGACCUUGAAAUACCACCCUUUAAUGUUUGAUGUUCUAACGUUGACCCGUGAUCCGGGUUGCGGACAGUGUCUGGUGGGUAGUUUGACUGGGGCGGUCUCCUCCUAAAGAGUAACGGAGGAGCACGAAGGUUGGCUAAUCCUGGUCGGACAUCAGGAGGUUAGUGCAAUGGCAUAAGCCAGCUUGACUGCGAGCGUGACGGCGCGAGCAGGUGCGAAAGCAGGUCAUAGUGAUCCGGUGGUUCUGAAUGGAAGGGCCAUCGCUCAACGGAUAAAAGGUACUCCGGGGAUAACAGGCUGAUACCGCCCAAGAGUUCAUAUCGACGGCGGUGUUUGGCACCUCGAUGUCGGCUCAUCACAUCCUGGGGCUGAAGUAGGUCCCAAGGGUAUGGCUGUUCGCCAUUUAAAGUGGUACGCGAGCUGGGUUUAGAACGUCGUGAGACAGUUCGGUCCCUAUCUGCCGUGGGCGCUGGAGAACUGAGGGGGGCUGCUCCUAGUACGAGAGGACCGGAGUGGACGCAUCACUGGUGUUCGGGUUGUCAUGCCAAUGGCACUGCCCGGUAGCUAAAUGCGGAAGAGAUAAGUGCUGAAAGCAUCUAAGCACGAAACUUGCCCCGAGAUGAGUUCUCCCUGACUCCUUGAGAGUCCUGAAGGAACGUUGAAGACGACGACGUUGAUAGGCCGGGUGUGUAAGCGCAGCGAUGCGUUGAGCUAACCGGUACUAAUGAACCGUGAGGCUUAACCUUACAACGCCGAAG
rnacentral:rRNA from 1 species